rnacentral:rRNA from 1 species
GACAGAGGGUGCAAGCGUUGUUCGGAAUUAUUGGGCGUAAAGGGCGCGUAGGUGGCCGCGUAAGUCGGAUGUGAAAGCCCAGGGCUUAACCCUGGAAGUGCAUCUGAUACUGCAUGGCUUGAGUCUCGGAGAGGGUCGCGGAAUUCCCAGUGUAGAGGUGAAAUUCGUAGAUAUUGGGAGGAACACCAGUGGCGAAGGCGGCGACCUGGACGAAGACUGACACUGAGGCGCGAAAGCGUGGGGAGCAAACAGG